rnacentral:rRNA from 1 species
GACAGAGGGUGCAAACGUUGCUCGGAAUCACUGGGCGUAAAGGGCGUGUAGGCGGGAAUGUAAGUCGGGCGUGAAAGCCCCAGGCUCAACCUGGGAACUGCACUCGAAACUGCGUUUCUUGAGUAUCGGAGAGGAAAGCGGAAUACCUGGUGUAGAGGUGAAGUUCGUAGAUAUCAGGUGGAACACCAGUGGCGAAGGCGGCUUUCUGGACGAUUACUGACGCUGAGACGCGAAAGCGUGGGGAGCAAACAGG